UACGAAGGGGGCUAGCGUUGCUCGGAAUCACUGGGCGUAAAGGGCGCGUAGGCGGCCCGGCAAGUCAAUGGUGAAAGCUCGACGCUCAACGUCGAGUCGGCCACUGAUACUGCGGGCUGGAGCACUGUAGAGGCAGAUGGAAUUCCGGGGUGUAGCGGUGGAAUGCGUAGAGAUCCGGAAGAACACCGGUGGCGAAGGCGGC
rnacentral:rRNA from 1 species